rnacentral:lncRNA from 1 species
GAAUUUUUCUCGCGACCGAAAGACAGCAUGUGACGAGAAGAAUUCGAGCAACGACCGACUGAUUCACCAGGCACAAACAAAAACGGCCCCAUCAUAGAAACUUCCAAUCCAACGUAGACGAUAAGAAGGUAUGCCGUUCUCAUCGCCUCAACCGUUAAACACUAUAAUUCUGAGGUUGAAUACAGGAUACUGUACGUUGAACGAUAUUGCGCAGUAAUCUCAGAUUACUGGAAGCUGAAUCAGAAGUCUGACCACCUCAUGAUCCCAGCCGAUAAAAUAGAAGAGGCGUUGCCCCGGAUGAUACCAAGAGAAAUGCGCUGGAACAGCCACUGUGACUCACGGAAUUCGCACUUGCGGACAGCCAUCUCCGCCCCAAGAGCGGUGAGCAGGGAUAUGGCCUCCAAAAAAUAUCACA